UUCCUGGGAAUAGACUCAAGUGGAUUGUUUUCUAUUAUUCUGAGUAGCAAGAGCUCAGCUCAUGCAGUACAGGGUGAUGAGGCAGUUAAGCUCUGGAGAGCAGAGAUCACUCCAGAACAACAACACAACCAUGUUCUCCACACCUCUUCUACUCCUGCUGGCAGCUGCAUCCUAUGUGCAUGGUGAAGAACUGACUCAGCCUGCUUCCAUGACAGUGCAGCCAGGCCAGAGUCUGUCCAUCAACUGCAAAGUCUCAUAUUCUGUUACUAGCUCGCACACAGCUUGGAUCCGACAACCUGCAGGAAAAGCCCUAGAGUGGAUUGGGUAUAUCCAUAGUGGUGGGGGUACAGCUUACAGUGAUAAACUAAAAAACAAGUUCAGCAUCUCUAGAGACACUGGCAGUAACACGAUAACAUUACAAGGACAGAAUCUGCAAACUGAAGACACAGCUGUAUAUUACUGUGCAAGAGGCUGGGGGGGCCGGUCCUUCGACUACUGGGGAAAAGGAACUUCGGUGACCGUGACCUCAGGAGUGCAAAGCCCACCAGCGUCAAUCUUUGCUAUGUCACAAUGUGGCUCUGGCUUGGAUGGAUUGCUUACUCUCGGCUGUUUAACGUCUGGUUUCUCCCCUGCCGCUUCUCUGAAGUUCAAAUGGACGGACCCCCGUGGAAAGGAACUUACUAAGUUUACCCAGUAUCCAGUGUUCCAGACCAGUGGUUCCUACACCUCAGUCAGCCAUGUACAAGUGAAUGCUUCUCACUGGAGUACUGAAAAGUCCUUCACGUGCACAGCUGAACAUCUGGCAGGAACAAAAACUGAAACCAUUAAAAUACCAGUCAUUCAGCAACCAACCAUCAGUCUGGUGAAAGUUUCUGAGGGCAAAUCCAUUAUGUGUGUACUUGAGGACUUCUCCCCAAAGGACUUCACCGUUAAGUGGAAAGAGGAUGGGACAGAUGUGAAUGGCAUGAACCUGCAAGAAAACCGGAGUAAAGAAGGCUUGUACACAGCUGCCAGCAUUCUUGAAGUCACUGAGAGCAAAUGGAAAAGUAACGUGGAAUACACCUUUGAUUUAUCUGUGAAAAUCAAAGGCCUUGUAGUGAAAGAGCUGUUCGUAAACAACAGAGGAGUAAUGGAGUGUGUUAUUACUGGGAAGAAUAAGCAAGACGUGAAAGAAGCUAAAGUAUCAUGGACACGUGAAAACAUUCCAGAAACACAGGUGACAGAGGCUGAGGUUCAAAAUACAGGAGAACAAUACACAAAGAUUAGCACCUUGACCUUUAAUGAGACAUACUGGUUUUCUGGUAAUACAUUUAAGUGCUCUGCCACGUGGAAACAAAAACAUAUCUCUGAUGACAUUAGCAUUAACAAAAUAGGACAAAAACCCACUAUUCUCAUUUAUAAACCUGAGGAAAUAAACCCUCAUCAUGUCUCACUGGUCUGUGAAAUCAACAGUUCUCCUAGUAUGGAUGUGUAUGCCAUCUGGACAACAAACAACCAAAACGAAUAUAUUGAAGGCAACAUCACAUCUCCAAUCUUCAAAAAGAACAAUUCCAAGUCUGUCUUCAACAUUUUAACUGUGACAAAACAGGAGUAUGAAAAUGUAUCAUCUACGUUCACCUGUGCAGUCAAAUAUGGUGGAAUGAAAACUCCCAAUAUACCACUUUUGGUGGCAACAUCCAAGAAUCACUCACAACAGAUAGUAUUCUGCUAUGAUGAGGAAGCUUUGGAUGAAGAUGAGUUCAGUAGUUUGUGGUCCACUGCUUCAUCUUUCAUCUUCCUCUUCAUAUUCUCUCUAAUCUACAGCACUGUUCUCAGCCUCUCCAAGAUGAAAUCAUGAGUGAUUUGAACAUGCCUGGAAAUCACGUUAAUGUAACUUCAGUUAUCUUGUGGAUUUUUCGAAAAAUAUAACUUUAUAACUUUUCUUUAAUAUUCUUUUAUGCAGUGUGAAGAUGUUUGGAUUUGGGUGUGUAUGUGUUUGCUUUUAUGGAUUAUAGACCCUCAUAAAAUCCCCACCUCCAAACACCCAAUCCACCCAUACACCAAACCUCAUUAUGGAUUUAUUUAACCUGUGAAUAAAUACUCCCUUUUUUGUUAUUACUUUUUGGAAGUUGUGAAUUUCAGAUCUGUAUUUUGUUAUUAUUCCAGGGUAGGUUUUUUUUCCUAUUUUUCUACUAAUCUCUUUUGGUCAUGUCGGUAAUUAUUAAGCUUUUACUCUGAAUCUGUCCAUUUAUUUGCCUGUUUAUGUUUUAUCUCCAUGUGCUCCAAGCUGAGUUGCAGAUCCACCUGAA